UGGGGAAUAUUGGGCAAUGGGCGAAAGCCUUACCCAGCAACGCCGCGUGAGGGAAGAAGGUUUUCGGAUUGUAAACCUCUGUCCUGGGGGACGAAGGGAAGUGACGGUACCCCGGGAGGAAGCCCCGGCUAACUACGUGCCAGCAGCCGCGGUAAUACGUAGGGGGCGAGCGUUGUCCGGAAUUAUUGGGCGUAAAGGGGCGCGUAGACGGCCGAGUAAGUUAUAGGUGAAAGCCCAUCUUUCAAGGAUGGAAUUGCCUGUAAUACUGCUUGGCUUGAGUGCAGGAGAGGGAAGCGGAAUUCCUAGUGUAGCGGUGAAAUGCGUAGAUAUUAGGAGGAACACCAGUGGCGAAGGCGGCUUUCUGGACUGUAACUGACGUUGAGGCGCGAAAGCGUGGGGAGCAAACAGGAUUAGAUACC
rnacentral:rRNA from 1 species